GUUUUUGGCCUUUUCUUUAUAUAUGUGGCCUAUCAAUAUCAUGUGUUUGGAAAAGCAUAAACUUAAGGCAUCACCUUUACAGAAAAUAUCUUCCAUGGAAACAUCUAAAGGCAAAAAUCCUUCAAAUUCAAAUUUAUCCAAUCAUUUCUUCUGCUUACUACCAUCCUAAAUCAUUUUUCUUUAGUAAGAUCUAUUAGUGUGAAGCUAUUAAGCUAUUAAUGUAAGUAUCAUAUUAAUGUAUUAAGAUAUUAAGUGAGGAAGUAAAGUUGCAUUCAUAGGCCUUGAACUUUUCCACAUCUCGAUUUUUACCCAUCAUCUCUGCAUAUUUUCCUAAGGCAGCCUUCAAAUGGUGAUGUUUCCUGUCAUCCAGAGUUCAGAAGUGCCUUCUCUUCAACCUUUCUGUGGAAUUCUAAACCACGUGAUAAAGGAGCUGGUGGCCACAGAUCAGCCCUGGGGUUCAGAGGGAUCCUGACGGCUACUCCUCAAGAUCCUCUCUGUUGUGAUUCAUCCCCCCCAGGCCCUACAGUUUCUCCUUCCUGACUCUUACAUUUCUUUGGAUGGCAUCACUAUUUUAGUUGCCAAGCACUGUGGAUUCUACCCCUCAGGGUCCAGACACCCAUUU
rnacentral:antisense_RNA from 1 species